rnacentral:tRNA from 1 species
GAUUUCGUGGCCUAAUGGAUAAGGCGCUGGUCUACAGAACCAGAGAAUCUGGGUUCGAUCCCCGUUCGAUCC